rnacentral:rRNA from 1 species
CCUGCCCAAGAGAUCGGGAUAACACCUGGAAACAGAUGCUAAUACCGGAUAACAACAGAUGAUGCCUAUCAACUGUUUAAAAGNAUGGUUCUGCUAUCACUCUUGGAUGGACCUGCGGUGCAUUAGCUAGUUGGUAGGGUAACGGCCUACCAAGGCGAUGAUGCAUAGCCGAGUUGAGAGACUGAUCGGCCACAUUGGGACUGAGACACGGCCCAAACUCCUACGGGAGGCAGCAGAC